UACGUAGGGUGCAAGCGUUAAUCGGAAUUACUGGGCGUAAAGCGUGCGCAGGCGGUUAUGUAAGACAGAUGUGAAAUGCCCGGGCUUAACCUGGGAACUGCAUUUGUGACUGCAUGGCUAGAGUUUGGCAGAGGGGGGGUAGAAUUCCACGUGUAGCAGUGAAAUGCGUAGAUAUGUGGAGGAACACCGAUGGCGAAGGCAGCCCCCCUGGGUCAAGACUGACGCUCAUGCACGAAAGGCGUGGGGAGCAAACAGG
rnacentral:rRNA from 1 species